CUACGGAGGGUGCAAGCGUUAAUCGGAAUUACUGGGCGUAAAGGGUUCGUAGGCGGUUAUUUAAGUCAAAUGUGAAAGCCCCGGGCUCAACCUGGGAAUUGCAUCUGGAACUGGGUAACUAGAGUUUAAGAGAGGAGUGUGGAAUUUCCGGUGUAGCGGUGAAAUGCAUAGAGAUCGGAAGGAACAUCAGUGGCGAAGGCGGCACUCUGGCUUAAAACUGACGCUGAGGAACGAAAGCGUGGGUAGCAAACAGGAUUAGAAACCCCAGUAGUCC
rnacentral:rRNA from 1 species